GCCCGCCUAGCUCAAUCGGAUAGAGCGCGAGACUUUUAAGCAGUCAGUGUGCGAGGGUCGAACUCGCACACUUCGCGGCGGCGUGGCAUCUCGAGGCUGCGGGUUCGACCCCCGCGGUGGGCU